AAGAGAUGUUUAUGAAUUUUAUAUAGGUGACUUAGAUUAAUGUUGUCUUUGGUUAUAUGAGUAGUUGAAAUAGCUAUAUAUACGGUUUCAUUCUUUUAGGUAUAUGUCACUAGUUAAUUGUUUAUGUCAUAAUGAAGGAAUAAGUAGAUUAUUUAUUAUGAAUUGGUUGCUAUUAUUCUCGGUAGUGAGUCCAACUGUUUAAUAAAGACAUUUUCAUUUGUUAGAUAUAAAUGAUAUGACCUGCUCAAUGUAGAAGUGUAUAAAUGGCCGCGGUUAAGAGUUUCGUGCUAAGGUAGCAUAAUAUAUAGCUUUUUAAUUGAGGGCUUGUGAAUGGUUUAAUGAGAUUUACAUAAAAGGGCGAUCUUUUUUGAAAUUGAUUUAUUAGUUAAGAAUCUGAUAUUAUAAUAUAAGACGGAAAGACCCCGAGAUCUUUACUAUUAGUUUUGUUUGGGGUAAAUGUAGUUUAUUCAUUUAUUUUAUGAUCUUUUUGGAUUAAGGUUUAAGUUACCUCGGGGAUAACUGAGUAAAGAACAGGGAGAGGUCAUAUUGAUCUGUUUGUUACUACCUCGAUGUUGGCUUAGAGAUACCUAUAUGGAGCAGAUGCUAUAUAAGGAGG
rnacentral:rRNA from 1 species